rnacentral:lncRNA from 1 species
CAAUAAUCCUAUGAGGUAGGGAUACUAGUGGCCUCAUCUUGCAGACUAGGGAACUAGACCUAGAGAGAAGAGCUGUUUACCUGAGAUCAAUUAUGCCAGGCACAGAGGUAUACUUGCCUGUAAUCCCAGAGAAUUGGGAGGCUGAGACAAAAGGAUUGAAAGUUUGAGACCAGUCUCAGCAAUGUAGCAAGGUCUUAAGCAAUUUAGUGAGACCCUGUCUCAAAAUAAAAAAUAAAAAGGGCUAGGGAUGUGGUUCAGUGGUAAAGCACCCCUGGGUUCAAUUCCUGAUGCAAAAAACAAAACAAAACCCAAAACUAAUUAUAGAUAGCAAAGCCAGAUUGGAGUCCGAGUGCCCUAUUACACAAAGUGGGCAAAGAUCAGAAUUUGAGAACAGGACUGGUUGUAGGUGUGCAUUUCUGUAAUCCCAGCAGUUCAGGAGGUUGAGGCAAGAGGACUGGAAAUUCAAAGCCAGCCUCAGCAAUUUAGUAGGCCCUAAGCAACCUAGUGAGACCCUGUCUCAAAAUAAAACAUAAAAGGGCUGGGAACUUAGCUCAGUGGUUAAGUGCCCCUGGGUUCAAUCCCUGGUACCAAAAAAAAAAAAAAAAAAAAAGAAUUUGGGAACAGGAACAGAUAGAGUGGCACAUGCCUAGAGGGAGGCUAGGACAAGAGGAUUAAGACCAGACCCUGUCUCAAAAUAAAAUCAAAAAGGGCUGGGGAUGUAGCUCAAUGGGAGAGAGUUUGGUAGUAUGUGUAAGGCCCUGGGUUCAAUCCCCAGUAUAGGAGAAGGAGAAGGGGAAAGCAUUUGGGAGCAGGGCAGGCAGCUGGGACUGUCUGUCAGUGGAGGCCAAGGAAUGUGCAGUCACAAAGCCAAGAUUCUGGAAGCUACUGAAGCAUUUCCAACUUUAAACUGCAAAGUCAGAAC